rnacentral:rRNA from 1 species
UACGUAGGGGGCGAGCGUUAUCCGGAUUCACUGGGUUUAAAGGGUGCGUAGGUGGGCAGGUAAGUCAGUGGUGAAAUCUCCGGGCUUAACCCGGAAACUGCCAUUGAUACUAUUUGUCUUGAAUAUCGUGGAGGUGAGCGGAAUAUGUCAUGUAGCGGUGAAAUGCUUAGAUAUGACAUAGAACACCCAUUGCGAAGGCAGCUCACUACACGAUUAUUGACGCUGAGGCACGAAAGCGUGGGGAGCAAACAG